CACGACCUGAGAUCUGACCAUGUGCAGAUCAAACCCCUUCGUUAAAGAAAAUCUGAAAACCAGACCUGUGCGGUGUAAGAUCACAGAGAGCUUGACAGAAAGUUGUGUUAGCGUAAAGUAGCUGUUCAGUUGUACUUCAUUCGACAAUGACUGAGGUGCUCGGUGCAGCAGAAGACCUUGUGGAACCAAAAUACCCUUCAUGGCCUGAAGGGAUCCUGCUUUGGUAGACGUGUGAUUUCCCACGUGGAACAGCCAGAUUUGAAUCGGGUCGGUCACAGUGGACCAAAGUCCUGCUCCCUCUUGCUCUUUUCACCUUGACUUUGUUUUAUUUGAAUUAAAACCAAAAAAAAAAGCCUCUGUUGCUGCUGCACGAGUGUGUCCCACCUGUUUCUCCAUCUUACGAUCCUCCUGCUCCUCUCGGAGACUUUCUGGCACAAAGACUCCAGCUGCUUCCUGAGCUUUCUGGGCCAUUAAACUCCACUCAAGGCACCUCAGCUCCUUCUCUUUGAGGCGGAUUAGAGAUCGCAGAUCUGACAUCUCCUCCUGAAACAAAAAUGUUAAACCAUUAACCACGGUGUUUAAAGAUUUACAAAGCUGUGAAGGAAAAACGUCCCCAAUGGUGGACAGAUCACAAGAUGUAAACUAGCGAGUUAUACCUCCCUUUUCUGAGUCUGAAGUUCAAAGUCCCCAAUGCAUGUACUUUUAUAUGAUUUUGAUCUCAUACCAUUUAAAAAUACAUUUUGUAUUGUGUUCAUGAAUUAAUUUCUCCCCAUUAACAAUACAUGAAGGUUUCAUUCACUUGAGUCACCACCGCUUCCCCUGAUUUGGAUCCACAGAAUGAGUUCUUUCUUGACCCUGCAUCCCUCCACCAAGUUUCAUGGAAAGCAUCUUCUCGUAAUCUGUGUAAACUUGGUUAUAACCAAACUCACAGACAGGAGUGAAACAUGACCUUCUUGGUGGCAGUAAUCAUGGAUUAGUCACUUCAUGCUUUACUAGAACUCUCUGACCUCAGAGAUGUAUCAGCAGUACCAACACUGUCCUGUGUACACCCACAUGUGUUUGAGGAUUUUGAGACUAAGGGUAGUGUUAUUUAGAGCAAAGUUUAUUUUGCCUGCAAAGAUGAUGCAAACGUCACAUUUCCUCUCGUCUGGUCCUUGAAGCAAGAUUUUAACAGCUCUUUUCUUUUUUUUGUCGAGACAUAGCAGCAUCUCAUUUUUUCAUUGUACAAAUGUAAACACAGACCGUAAGCACACAGCUCCUACCCUGACAGAAAUGAGUUCAUAGAAGACGGAAGCCUUCUCUUUCUUGGCAUCAAGAGGUCUGAAGUUGUCUCUGGUCACGUGUCCCCCUCUGGGCCCAGCUCUGUGACUGGUUUCAGGGCUCAGUUGGCUCUCUUGCUGCUGGUGUGGUUUAGGGAGGCUAAUGGCCGCCCGCUCCCUCUUCAGACGCUCAAUCUGCUGACGGAGAGUAGCCUCUCGAUUCGCCAGCUCAGGUGACCUGUGGAUUUACAGGUAGUGACUGAUUAGACGAAUACAUGGGCCAGGAAAUGUUCAUAUCUGAUUUCUUUAUUGUUUUCUCACUGCACUGAGCCAUCUCUAAUCUCUUUUAGUCUACAUAACGUUAAUCUUUGGGUUCUUUCUCUCUUUUCUAACCAAUCCUGUUAUGUAGCUUGAUUGUGUAACAGUAUUUAAUGACCUCACCUCUGCCCUGUGUGACUCUGUGUUUCUGUCUCCUCUGUGACCCCUGUUGUUGAGAAGGAGGUGGACAGCUCCUCACUUCCCAUGUUUCUCAGCUCAGACGAUGGACUGUCGGGCUGCUGCCUGUCACCGACCUCUUCUGAUGAGAGGGGGAAAGCCCUCCUCCUGGUGACUGUGCAAGAUGCCUCUGAGAGGAGAGUCGUGUUUCUCCAGAUCCAGGUUGUCCCUCUGAUGAAGCUCCUUUGGUAAGACCGAUGGGCAAGAAAUCCCAAACUCCUUUUCCAUCUCCUCUAAUAUCUGCAACCAGUCAGAAAAAGAUACUGAAGGGGCUGAUGGGAGCCUAAAGAGAAUCUGAGCAUCAGGGUAUUUAUCUCUAAGACUGAUCCGUUAAAUGUAGUUAAAUGGCUAAAACCAAUGAUUCUGUGGAUCAAGUUGCUUUUGAAAGAUUUGUCGAUAAAGUGUGACCUAACAAGUUAUUGACUCAUGAUGUAUCAGCACCUGAGUGGCUUUGACCCGGCUCUCCUGAGCUGCUCUCAGAUGCUCUUUGUGCCUCUCGUGGUCGGAGGUGGUGAUGGGGGCGGCCCAGUUUCUUCUACAGCUGAUGGAGUCCUCCACUGAUGAUAACACCUCCUGCAGCUUUGUCCAGACUACACCACCGCCCACUAGUGGAGGAAAAAUAGACAUGCAGCCAAACAAAAUGAGAGGCAGUUUCCUAUUUUUACACUUAUCUUUCACACAAAAAUAUGAGAAUCUCUUUUGCCGAUCUCAUCUUACUGUGUGUUUGCUUCUCUUUAAGAUAACUUACUGUAUUUUACAGAUUUAGAAAGAAUAUUUGAAAUAAUGCAUCAGUUGUUCUUCCAGCCAUAAAACAUUGCUUUUGGGUUAA